rnacentral:rRNA from 1 species
GCUGGCGGCGUGCCUAAUACAUGCAAGUCGAACGGUCUUUCUAUGGAAGCUUGCUUCCACUGAGAAGAUAGUGGCGGACGGGUGAGUAACACGUGGGUAACCUGCCCAUAAGAGGGGGAUAACAAUCCGGAAACGGGUGCUAAUACCGCAUAGUUUUCUUGAUCGCAUGAUCGAGAAAGGAAAGACGGCCUUUGUGCUGUCGCUUAUGGAUGGACCCGCGGCGUAUUAGUUAGUUGGUGAGGUAAUGGCUCACCAAGACGAUGAUACGUAGCCGACCUGAGAGGGUGAUCGGCCACAUUGGGACUGAGACACGGCCCAAACUCCUACGGGAGGCAGCAGUAGGGAAUCUUCCGCAAUGGACGAAAGUCUGACGGAGCAACGCCGCGUGAGUGAAGAAGGUUUUCGGAAUCGUAAAACUCUGUUGUCAGAGAAGAACAAGUUGGAGAGUAACUGCUCCAGCCUUGACGGUAUCUGACCAGAAAGCCACGGCUAACUACGUGCCAGCAGCUGC